AUUUACUUCGGUAAUGACGCUGGGGACGCGAGCGGCGGAUGGGUGAGUAACACGUGGGGAACCUGCCCCAUAGUCUGGGAUACCACUUGGAAACAGGUGCUAAUACCGGAUAAGAAAGCAGAUCGCAUGAUCAGCUUAUAAAAGGCGGCGUAAGCUGUCGCUAUGGGAUGGCCCCGCGGUGCAUUAGCUAGUUGGUAAGGUAACGGCUUACCAAGGCAAUGAUGCAUAGCCGAGUUGAGAGACUGAUCGGCCACAUUGGGACUGAGACACGGCCCAAACUCCUACGGGAGGCAGCAGUAGGGAAUCUUCCACAAUGGACGCAAGUCUGAUGGAGCAACGCCGCGUGAGUGAAGAAGGUUUUCGGAUCGUAAAGCUCUGUUGUUGGUGAAGAAGGAUAGAGGUAGUAACUGGCCUUUAUUUGACGGUAAUCAACCAGAAAGUCACGGCUAACUACGUGCCAGCAGCCGCGGUAAUACGUAGGUGGCAAGCGUUGUCCGGAUUUAUUGGGCGUAAAGCGAGCGCAGGCGGAAGAAUAAGUCUGAUGUGAAAGCCCUCGGCUUAACCGAGGAACUGCAUCGGAAACUGUUUUUCUUGAGUGCAGAAGAGGAGAGUGGAACUCCAUGUGUAGCGGUGGAAUGCGUAGAUAUAUGGAAGAACACCAGUGGCGAAGGCGACUCUCUGGUCUGCAACUGACGCUGAGGCUCGAAAGCAUGGGUAGCGAACAGGAUUAGAUACCCUGGUAGUCCAUGCCGUAAACGAUGAGUGCUAAGUGUUGGGAGGUUUCCGCCUCUCAGUGCUGCAGCUAACGCAUUAAGCACUCCGCCUGGGGAGUACGACCGCAAGGUUGAAACUCAAAGGAAUUGACGGGGGCCCGCACAAGCGGUGGAGCAUGUGGUUUAAUUCGAAGCAACGCGAAGAACCUUACCAGGUCUUGACAUCUAGUGCCAUCCUAAGAGAUUAGGAGUUCCCUUCGGGGACGCUAAGACAGGUGGUGCAUGGCUGUCGUCAGCUCGUGUCGUGAGAUGUUGGGUUAAGUCCCGCAACGAGCGCAACCCUUGUUAUUAGUUGCCAGCAUUAAGUUGGGCACUCUAAUGAGACUGCCGGUGACAAACCGGAGGAAGGUGGGGAUGACGUCAAGUCAUCAUGCCCCUUAUGACCUGGGCUACAC
rnacentral:rRNA from 1 species